UGGGAACAGUCGACUGAGUCAACGUGGGGUUUUGUUUCAGUUUGGCCGCGUUCGUUUUGAUUUAUUUCCAUGGUAGACUUUGAAAGAAUUGAGCACAUUCGUUGGCCUUUUAGGGGCCUCUGUCUUCAGUAGCGAAGUCUGGGGAGAGUGUGUAAAUAGGUGUCUCGCACAGCGUCCAGGCAUACUUAGAAUGCAGACUCACGACUUCACUGUGAAGUCAUGCCUUGGUCAUAGUGACAACAUGAUGGCUGUGAACAGAACGGAGAAAUGCAUUAGUGAGGACCGAUGCUGUGGCAAGAGCACCACCCGGGCUUGUACGGUUUGCGUGGGGCAGUGAACUGAAUUCAUUUGAGUGUUGUAGGAAGAGGGAGGAGGAUGACGUCACAGCAACAAAGGGCAUCUUAACCUAAACCUUACUGUCAUCCAGUCCCGACGAUAACGUCUAAGUUCCCAACCUAAAAUCUUUACACGCUGAAACUGCUGUCUCCGUGCUACUUUUAGCAAUUUUCAGAACCGUCUUUCAGAAGAACCGAACUGCUUCAUCUUUGGCGAUGGCUUUUGCCCAUGGAAAUCAUUGUAACUGCAAUUGGAGACCUGAAGUCAAAUCCAAAUUCUUGACGGUUUCCUAGCUGAAUGGGCCACAGGAAGACCCACCACGCCUGAGCCCGGAGUCUCCGUGUCUACAAAGGUUAUACCAACGCUCAUCUUCCCUACUUUCAUUCCAUUCAGAGAAUUUUCUUUUUGAUUCUUCGAGAAGCCACCAUCCUUGGGAUUUACAAAUGUUCUACUGCUUCUAACUCCUGAUCAGUGUGAUAAAGACAUUUGUUUCCCCAA